rnacentral:rRNA from 1 species
GACGUAGGGCGCGAGCGUUGUCCGGAUUUAUUGGGCGUAAAGAGCUCGUAGGCGGCUUGUCGCGUCGACUGUGAAAACCCGCGGCUCAACCGUGUGGUCUGCAGUCGAUACGGGCAGGCUAGAGUUCGGUAGGGGGAGACUGGAAUUCCUGGUGUAGCGGUGAAAAUGCGCAGAUAUCAGGAGGAACACCGGUGGCGAAGGCGGGGUC